rnacentral:rRNA from 1 species
GGAGUCUAGCAUGUGCGCGAGUCAUUGGGACAUGACUAAACCUAAAGGCGCAAUGAAAGUAAAGGUCCGCCUUGCGCGGACCGAGGGAGGAUGGGCGGCCGUUGCGGCUGCCGCCCCGCACUCCCGGGGCGUCUCGUUCUCAUUGCGAGAAGAGGCGCACCAAGAGCGUACACGCUGGGACCCGAAAGAUGGUGAACUAUGCCUGGUCAGGACGAAGUCAGGGGAAACCCUGAUGGAGGUCCGUAGCGAUUCUGACGUGCAAAUCGAUCGUCGGAACUGGGUAUAGGGGCGAAAGACUAAUCGAACCAUCUAGUAGCUGGUUCCCUCCGAAGUUUCCCUCAGGAUAGCUGGCGCUCGUUGCGCACGAGUUUCAUCCGGUAAAGCGAAUGAUUAGAGGCAUUGGGGUCGAAACGGCCUCAACCUAUUCUCAAACUUUAAAUGGGUGAGAUCUCCGGCUUGCUCGAACUACUGAAGCCGCGAGACUCGAAUCAGAGUGCCAAGUGGGCCAUUUUUGGUAAGCAGAACUGGCGCUGUGGGAUGAACCAAACGCCGAGUUAAAGCGCCUAAAUCGACGCUUAUGGGAUACCAUGAAAGGCGUUGGUAACUUAAGACAUCAGGACGGUGGCCAUGGAAGUC